rnacentral:rRNA from 1 species
GUUGGCUUGGAAGCAGCCAUUCAUUUAAAGAGUGCGUAACAGCUCACUAGUCGAGUGGUCCCGCAUGGAUAAUAAUCGGGCAUAAGCCCGGUGCCGAAGGCGUGGACCUGCCGAAUAUUCGGCGGGUGGUAGGGGAGCAUUCCGGUAGCCGCAGAAGGUUGGGCGCGAGCCUGGCUGGAGGCCCCGGAAAAGCAAAUGUAGGUAUAAGUAACGACAAGGGGAGCGAGAAACUCCCCCGCCGUAAGACCAAGGGUUUCUGAUCAACGCUAAUCGGAUCAGAGUCAGUCGGGACCUAAGGCGCAGCCGCAAGGCGUAGCCGAUGGAAGAAACGGUCAACAUUCCGUUACUCGGUAUGAGAGCGAUGUGGAGACGGAGAAGUGACACUCCCGCGCGCUGACGGAAUAGCGCGUUGAACCGCAAAGGUAUACGCCGCCCAGGCAAAUCCGGGCGGAGUGCCGAAGCGGGACAGUACGGCGAGCCCCCGGGCGAGCCGACAGCGGAGGUAACCAUGCUCCCGAGAAAAUCCGCUAAGCAUAUCCCAUGCCGACCCGUACCCUAAACCGACACAGGUGGUCGGGUAGAACAUACCAAGGCGCUCGAGAGAUUCACGGUUAAGGAACUAGGCAAACUGACCCCGUAACUUCGGGAUAAGGGGUCCCCUCCUCCGGGAGGGGCGCAGAGAAUAGGUCCAGGCAACUGUUUAACAAAAACACAGGGCUGUGCGAAAUUGAAAGAUGAAGAAUACAGCCUGACACCUGCCCGGUGCCGGAAGGUUAAGAGGAGAUGUCACAGCAAUGGAAGCAUUGAAUUGAAGCCCCGGUAAACGGCGGCCGUAACUAUAACGGUCCUAAGGUAGCGAAAUUCCUUGUCGGGUAAGUUCCGACCUGCACGAAUGGUGUAAUGAUCUGGACACUGUCUCAACCGUGAGCUCAGUGAAAUUGUAGUAUCGGUGAAGAUGCCGAUUACCCGCGAUGGGACGAAAAGACCCCGUGAACCUUUACUAUAGCUUUACAUUGAAUUUGGGCAGACGAUGUGUAGGAUAGGCCGGAGGCUUUGAAGGGGGUACGCCAGUAUCCUUGGAGCCGCCGUUGAAAUACGGCCCUUCGGUUGUUUGAGUUCUAACUCCCGGAUGGGAGGACACUGUAUGGUGGGUAGUUUGACUGGGGUGGUCGCCUCCAAAAGCGUAACGGAGGCUUCUAAAGGUGCCCUCAGACCGAUUGGUAACCGGUCGCAGAGUGUAAUGGCAUAAGGGCGCUUGACUGGGAGAGAUACAACUCGAUCAGGUAGGAAACUAGAGCAUAGUGAUCCGGUGGUUCCGCAUGGAAGGGCCAUCGCUCAAAGGAUAAAAGGUACUCCGGGGAUAACAGGCUGAUCCCUCCCAAGA